CCGUAACUAUAACGGUCCUAAGGUAGCGAAAUUCCUUGUCGGGUAAGUUCCGACCUGCACGAAUGGCGUAAUGAUGGCCAGGCUGUCUCCACCCGAGACUCAGUGAAAUUGAACUCGCUGUGAAGAUGCAGUGUACCCGCGGCAAGACGGAAAGACCCCGUGAACCUUUACUAUAGCUUGACACUGAACAUUGAGCCUUGAUGUGUAGGAUAGGUGGGAGGCUUUGAAGUGUGGACGCCAGUCUGCAUGGAGCCGACCUUGAAAUACCACCCUUUAAUGUUUGAUGUUCUAACGUUGGCCCCUUAUCGGGGUUGCGGACAGUGUCUGGUGGGUAGUUUGACUGGGGCGGUCUCCUCCUAAAGAGUAACGGAGGAGCACGAAGGUUGGCUAAUCCUGGUCGGACAUCAGGAGGUUAGUGCAAUGGCAUAAGCCAGCUUGACUGCGAGCGUGACGGCGCGAGCAGGUGCGAAAGCAGGUCAUAGUGAUCCGGUGGUUCUGAAUGGAAGGGCCAUCGCUCAACGGAUAAAAGGUACUCCGGGGAUAACAGGCUGAUACCGCCCAAGAGUUCAUAUCGACGGCGGUGUUUGGCACCUCGAUGUCGGCUCAUCACAUCCUGGGGCUGAAGUAGGUCCCAAGGGUAUGGCUGUUCGCCAUUUAAAGUGGUACGCGAGCUGGGUUUAGAACGUCGUGAGACAGUUCGGUCCCUAUCUGCCGUGGGCGCUGGAGAACUGAGGGGGGCUGCUCCUAGUACGAGAGGACCGGAGUGGACGCAUCACUGGUGUUCGGGUUGUCAUGCCAAUGGCACUGCCCGGUAGCUAAAUGCGGAAGAGAUAAGUGCUGAAAGCAUCUAAGCACGAAACUUGCCCCGAGAUGAGUUCUCCCUGACCCUUUAAGGGUCCUGAAGGAACGUUGAAGACGACGACGUUGAUAGGCCGGGUGUGUAAGCGCAGCGAUGCGUUGAGCUAACCGGUACUAAUGAACCGUGAGG
rnacentral:rRNA from 1 species